GCCAUCUCACAUUUGCUUGCCCUCCUUCGUACUUUGUCAUCUCAUUUUGGCAUUGCUGGUCAUUGUUAAUCCUUUCUGGCGCAGAGGAAUUUUGCAGACAUCUCCUAUGGUGGUUAUGAAGGGAGACUUGGCGAGAGGCCAAACAUCAAGGCUUUAGUCAGCAGAAUAAGAGAACAGGCUUCACAUCAUCAUUCUUGCUAUACUUGCCAAUCUUGAGGAAAAGGCAAAAGAAGCAAAUAGCAGCAGAGAAAUUAAGGAUAAUAACACAAGCAUUAGAACAAGCUGAGGGCAGAGUUUUAAGAUAUGAAGAAAGACACGAUAACAUACUUAAUCAAAUAUGUUCACAUUACAUUGUAAUUCAAGAAAUAGUAGAAGCACUUACUGGUGCUCGAGAAGCAAUGAAUGGAGCAUUAGAAUUUGCAAUUACUCUCAGAAAUUUGCAGCUACAAGUUAUCAGAUUGUACCCUGAUGAUUAUGAAAGUGCUUCAAGGCAUGUUUGGUUAAUUGGAAAAUCAAGAAGACAAAGGAACAAUAAUAAUUAGCAUAGAUCAAGCUAUACGUUCUUUUUUGUAUUUGUUGAUUACUAAAUGGAUACUAUUUCCUUGCAAUGAUCCUUCUC